UACGAAGGGGGCUAGCGUUGCUCGGAAUCACUGGGCGUAAAGGGUGCGUAGGCGGGUCUUUAAGUCGGGGGUGAAAUCCUGGAGCUCAACUCCAGAACUGCCUUCGAUACUGGAGAGCUUGAGUCCGGGAGAGGUGAGUGGAACUGCGAGUGUAGAGGUGAAAUUCGUAGAUAUUCGCAAGAACACCAGUGGCGAAGGCGGCUCACUGGCCCGGUACUGACGCUGAGGCACGAA
rnacentral:rRNA from 1 species